UACGUAGGUGGCAAGCGUUGUCCGGAUUUACUGGGCGUAAAGGGCGUGCAGGCGGUUUGUUAAGUGCAGGGUGAAAGCUCCCGGCUCAACUGGGAGAGGUCCUUGCAUACUGGCAAACUCGAGGGAGGCAGAGGAAAGUGGAAUUCCCGGUGUAGUGGUGAUAUGCGUAGAUAUCGGGAGGAACACCUGUGGCGAAGGCGGGUCUCUGGGCAGUAACUGACACUGAGGAGCGAAAGCGUGGGGAGCGAACAGG
rnacentral:rRNA from 1 species